rnacentral:rRNA from 1 species
UACGUAGGGGCGAGCGUUAUCCGGAAUUAUUGGGCGUAAAGAGUGCGUAGGUGGUCUUGUAAGCGUGGGGUGAAAGGCAGUGGCUUAACCAUUGUUAGCCUUGCGAACUGUGAGACUUGAGUGCAGGAGAGGAAAGUGGAAUUCCUAGUGUAGCGGUGAAAUGCGUAGAUAUUAGGAGGAACACCAGUGGCGAAGGCGGGUAACUGGACUGCAACUGACGCUGAGGCGCGAAAGCGUGGGGAGCAAACAGGAUUAGAUACCCCCGUAGUCCCU